GGAUGGGUGGCCGAGUGGUUUAAGGCGCCAGGUUUAGGUUACAACCUAAAUUCAAAUAUUCGAUGUGCAAGCAUUGAUAAAACCCCUGGUAUCUUCGGAUGCGCGAGUUCGAAUCUCGCCUCAUUCA
rfam:Nadsonia fulvescens var. elongata DSM 6958 unplaced genomic scaffold NADFTscaffold_11, whole genome shotgun sequence.